rnacentral:rRNA from 1 species
GAUGAACGCUAGCGGCAGGCUUAAUACAUGCAAGUCGAGGGGCAACAUGGUGUAGCAAUACACUGAUGGCGACCGGCAAACGGGUGCGGAACACGUACGCAACCUACCCAAAACUGGUGAAUAGCCCUCCGAAAGGAGGAUUAAUACACCGUAACUUAAUUAGAUGGCAUCAUUUGAUUAAUAUAGCUCCGGCGGUUUUGGAUGGGCGUGCGCCUGAUUAGGUAGUUGGUGUGGGUAACGGCCCACCAAGCCUACGAUCAGUAACUGGUGUGAGAGCACGACCAGUCACACGGGAACUGAGACACGGGCCCGACUCCUACGGGAGGCAGCAGUAAGGAAUAUCGGUCAAUGGACGCAAGUCUGAACCAGCCAUGCCGCGUGAAGGAUGAAGGUCCUCUGGAUUGUAAACUUCUUUUAUAUGGGACGAAACCUCUUAUUCUUAAGAGACUGACGGUACCAUAGGAAUAAGCACCGGCUAACUCCGUGCCAGCCGCCGCCGUAAUAC